rnacentral:rRNA from 1 species
AUACGAAGGGGGCUAGCGUUGUUCGGAAUUACUGGGCGUAAGGCGCGCGUAGGCGGACUGAUCAGUUGGGGGUGAAAUCCCAGGGCUUAACCCUGGAACUGCCACCAAUACUGUCAGUCUUGAGUUCGGGAGAGGUGAGUGGAAUUCCUAGUGUAGAGGUGAAAUUCGUAGAUAUUAGGAAGAACACCAGUGGCGAAGGCGGCUCACUGGCCCGAUACUGACGCUGAGGCGCGAAAGCGUGGGGAGCAAACAGGAUUAGAAACCCGAGUAGUCC